rnacentral:lncRNA from 1 species
CUUCAUUGACAAAAAGGAGGGUAAACCACUUCACUAAUUUGUUGUGUGGAUUAGAUAGUGUCUAUGUUAUUGUCUGUGCACAGUGUACACUCAGAAGUGUUCUCCCCUUCCCACCGUGCUCAAAUAUGCAUCAAAAAGACAUCAGUACAUUACAGUUGGAUCUUGGACACUCUCAACUCCCUAUACAGUGAGCCCCUCUCUAUGCUACCUGUAUUGGUUUGCUAGAGUUGUCAUUUCAAAUACCAUAGACUGUGUGGCUCACACAGCAGAAAUUUAUUUCUCACAGUUCUACAGACUAAAAGUCCAAGAUCAAGGUAUAAGUGGGUUUGUUUUCUUCUCAGGCCUUUCUCCUUGGCUUGUAGGUAGUGGUCUUUUUGCUGUAGGAUCUUGUCUCUGUCUCAUAGUCUUUUAUCUGUCCACAUGUAUCUCUGAUGUCCCUGUGUGUCCAAAUUCCUUUUUCUUACAAGGACACAAGUCAUAUUGGAUUGGGUCCCACUCUAAUGGCCUCAUUUUAACUUCACU